AAUGGGAUACCCUGUACUAGAUGUUGUUAUUUCGUUAUCACAUUUUCGUUUACUGCGUAAAUGCAUAGAUCGUGAUUACUGAUUAUCCAAAUUGUGUAAAUGUAUGUAAGUACGGAAACUGGAAAGUGGUAAAUUGUUAUACCAUUUAUACCAUCGCUGUCUGUGCGUCCGCCUGCCACUGCGCAUUGAACGUGUUCGUUAUUUACUAUUUAGUAUUUGACAUUUAUAUUAGUGAUUACACUGGCUGGGUCAAUUACGCUUUCUUCCGUUUGUAGUGUUGAGAAGUAUUUUUAUGGUAAGUAAUACUAUUAUUUACUAUUAUUUAUAAUUUAUUAUUAUAACUUAAAUUGGAGUUUGAUUUAUUUCAAAAUUUUCUCUAAGUCUUAUUCCUUACUUCGGGCCUGUUACAAAUUUUGGUGCAUUUGGUAGGCUUUUUAUUUAAAUACAGAAUCCAAAUCAAAUUGAAUUUUGAACUUCAACAAAUCGGAUUCAACGUCAUGGAAGGUAACUUCCUCGAGUCUCAGAAAUUCUGGCCAGUACAACCUAAAUUUGCAACUCCGUGUACAACAGGACCGCGUGACAGUCAUACACCAACGAACCAGCCAUAGAGGAAAUUAUCACAGUAGGGGCCAACAACAUCGUCCCCUUGUUGUGAGUUUAUGUUAUACAUUGAAGAAUUAUUGGAAAUAUUAAUUUAUUAUUAUAAAUCGAGUUGAAGUUUGAUUUAUUUCAAAAUUUUCACUAAGUCUCAUUACUUACCCUAGGCCCGUUACACCUAAUAAAACCCGUUUUAUGGACACUUACAUAGAAAUUCUGAAGUUUUUAAGUCGUAAUUAUAUUAGUAGUCUAGUUCAUGAAAUAAUGGAUAAGUGACCCCCAGAUUUUGAAUUGGAACCUUAACAUAGAGAUUCUGAAACAAUUUAACAGUACAAAGAUUCUAAAUUCUUAUCUUGGUUUGAGAAUAUUGUUGCUCAGGUCAAGGAAUCGCUGAGAAAUCACUGAUGUGACUGGAGCGGAACAAAACUAAUUUUACUAUGUUGACUUUUAUAAUAAUUUAAUGGAGUCAAUUAUACCUGUGGUCCCAAUUCAAAAUAUGAAAUACUACCGAAAGAGUGAGCAAUGCUCCAGCAGAGAAUUGGUUUGGAGAUGUGAAGAAUGACAAAAAAUAUAAAUGUUUAAAAUGUAGUCGAUUUGUAAAAUAGACCAGAGAAAAUCUUGAGUAGAAGUUAAGUAGUCCUUGAUAAUAACAAAAAGGAAACAAUGUACUGGAAAUUGAAUGAAUGUUAGAGUUGAUUUCUUUUGAUGAUGAAGAGGAUAAAGAAUAUUGGCAACUGUGGUCAGGUUUUCCAAUCAAAUAAAGACAGCUUAAAUUAUCUUGUUGGUGCCUAUAAUUUUAUUUAAUAUAUUAGGUAGGUACUGGAUUGGUGAAACUUGGAUUUGAAGAUUAUAAUGUUCUGUCUGAUUUAAGAACUUCAAACACAGACAUUGUCACAAAAAAAAACACUUCUAAAAAUGUGGUUGAACAAUUUUGUAAUUGAUAUAUGUGGGUGUGUUAAGAAAAUAUGUAUAUCACAUUAAGAUAGUUUGUUGUAAUAUUUUAUUGUUUUUUUAUUAUAAUGGUUCUCAAAAAUAGUUACUUAUAAUUCUACUCAACAUAACUGGAAAAUACUGUUUGCUGACUUUUGAAACUGUAAUUUUCACUACGUGGAGUCAAUGAAUGUUUUCGUCUACAGGAUUUUAUCAAAAGAGCUUGAAAGAAAAUUUAAAAAAUAGUAUAUCCUAUUCAACUAUCCUAUUUAACUAUGGAGUGUAUUGUUUAUAUUAUGCUAAAUACAUGAUGAGAAACUCUAAAAAUGUUAUUUUUAAUCCCACUUUUGAUACUAAUUAUGACACAAUGGUGUAUAGAACAGAACUAAAAAAAAUACUUUUAGAAAACUCAGAUUUUAUGAGAUAUUUGAUUGUAAUGUGGUAAAAUUCAGAUACAUAUUAUUAUUUUGUAAUUGCAUGUUAUUUAAUAUGGAAGAUGUAUAACUUUUAUUAAAUAAGUGGAUUAGGCCUAUAAGGGGACACCACUUGGAAAAAAAACGCGCCAUUUGCAGUACCUCAAAGUUUUCAAACUAAGGUGGUGAGGAAAUCUGCAUAAUGUUAAUA